rnacentral:rRNA from 1 species
AGUGAACGCUGGCGGUAGGCCUAACACAUGCAAGUCGAACGGCAGCACAGUAAGAGCUUGCUCUUACGGGUGGCGAGUGGCGGACGGGUGAGGAAUACAUCGGAAUCUACUUUUUCGUGGGGGAUAACGUAGGUAAACUUACGCUAAUACCGCAUACGACCUACGGGUGAAAGCAGUGGAUCUUCGGACCUUGCGCGAUUGAAUGAGCCGAUGUGGGAUUGGCUAGUUGGCGGGGUAAAGGCCCACCAAGGCGACGAUCCGUAGCUGGUCUGAGAGAAUGGUCACCCACCCUGGAACUGAAACGGCGUCCAGACGCCUGAGGGAGGGAGCAGAGGGGAAUAUUGGACAAUAGGCGCAAACCUUGUCCAACCAGACCGCGUGGGAGGAGAAGGCGUUCGGGUUGUGAAGACGGCUUGUUGGGAGUGAAAAGCAGUCGGUUGUUACCCCGCUGUUGUGACGGUACCCAAUAAAUAAGCACCGGCUAACUUCGUG